GUCUACAGCCAUGCCACCCUGAACAUGCCCAAUCUCGUCUGAUCUCGGAAGCUAAGCAGGGUUGGGCCUGGUUAGUACUUGGAUGGGAGGCCACCCAGGAAUACCAGGUGCUGUAGGCA
rnacentral:rRNA from 1 species